UCCCUGGUAGUCCAGUAGUUGAGACUCCGUACUUCCACUGCUGGAAGCGCAGGUUCAAUCCCUGGUCAGGGAA
rnacentral:tRNA from 1 species